rnacentral:tRNA from 1 species
GCUCCUAUAGCUCAGCCUGGAUAGAGCAAACGCCUCCUAAGCGUUAGGCCGAAGGUUCAAAUCCUUUUGGGAGCG